rnacentral:rRNA from 1 species
UUGCCAGACUCCUACGGGAGGCAGCAGUGGGGAAUUUUGGACAAUGGGCGCAAGCCUGAUCCAGCUAUUCCGCGUGUGGGAUGACGGCCCUCGGGUUGUAAACCACUUUAGUAGAGAACGAAAAGGAGCUAUCGAAUAAAUAGCUCUGCUGACGGUACUCUAAGAAUAAGUACCGGCUAACUACGUGCCAGCAGCCGCGGUAAUACGUAGGGUGCGAGCGUUAUCCGGAUUUAUUGGGUUUAAAGGGUGCGCAGGCGGAGGUGCAAGUCAGCGGUCAAAUUGCGGGGCUCAUCCCCGUACUGCCGUUGAAACUGCAUCCCUUGAGUGCGCGAGAAGUAUGCGGAAUGCGUGGUGUAGCGGUGAAAUGCAUAGAUAUCACGCAGAACUCCGAUUGCGAAGGCAGCAUACCGGCGCGCAACUGACGCUCAUGCACGAAAGCGUGGGUAUCGAACAGGAUUAGAUACCCGGGUA